UACGAAGGGACCUAGCGUAGUUCGGAAUUACUGGGCUUAAAGAGUUCGUAGGUGGUUAAAAAAGUUGAUGGUGAAAUCCCAAGGCUCAACCUUGGAACUGCCAUCAAAACUUUUUAGCUAGAGUGUGAUAGAGGAAAGUGGAAUUUCUAGUGUAGAGGUGAAAUUCGUAGAUAUUAGAAAGAACAUCAAAAGCGAAGGCAACUUUCUGGAUCAUCACUGACACUGAGGAACGAAAGCAUGGGUAGCGAAGAGGAUUAGAUACCCUCGUAGUCCAUGCCGUAAACGAUGUGUGUUAGACGUUGGAAAUUUAUUUUCAGUGUCGCAGCGAAAGCGAUAAACACACCGCCUGGGGAGUACGACCGCAAGGUUAAAACUCAAAUGAAUUGACGGGGACCCGCACAAGUAGUGGAGCAUGUGGUUUAAUUCGAAGAUACGCGCAGAACCUUACCAACACUUGACAUGUUCGUCGCGACUCUAAGAGAUUAGAGUUUUCGGUUCGGCCGGACGAAACACAGGUGCUGCAUGGCUGUCGUCAGCUCGUGUCGUGAGAUGUUGGGUUAAGUCCCGCAACGAGCGCAACCCUCACUUUUAGUUGCCAUCAUUAAGUUGGGCACUCUGAAAGAACUGCCAGUGAUAAGCUGGAGGAAGGUGGGGAUGACGUCAAGUCCUCAUGGCCCUUACGUGUUGGGCUACACACGUGCUACAAUGGUAUCUACAACAGGAAGCAAGACUGCGAAGUUAAGCAAAUCCUUAAAAGAUACCUCAGUUCGGAUUGCACUCUGCAACUCGAGUGCAUGAAGCUGGAAUUACUAGUAAUCGUGGAUCAGCGUGCCACGGUGAAUGCGUUCCCGGGUCU
rnacentral:rRNA from 1 species